rnacentral:rRNA from 1 species
GUUGAAUUCGGGCUCGGCCCGAUCCUCCCA